rnacentral:rRNA from 1 species
UACGUAGGGUGCAAGCGUUGUCCGGAAUUAUUGGGCGUAAAGAGCUCGUAGGCGGUUUGUCGCGUCUGCUGUGAAAACGCGAGGCUCAACCUCGCGCCUGCAGUGGGUACGGGCAGACUAGAGUGAUGUAGGGGAGACUGGAAUUCCUGGUGUAGCGGUGAAAUGCGCAGAUAUCAGGAGGAACACCGGUGGCGAAGGCGGUGGUCUGGGCCGGCACUGACGCUGAGGAGCGAAAGCGUGGGUAGCAAACAGG